CGAGGAAUAGGUGCAUCUUCAAGGCUAGUAAUAUUGUACAGGAGUCCAUCACAAAUAAGGUGGAAAACUGACAGUUAAAAUUGAAUUUUUGAAUCAGGCGCCCAAGGGCCGACUUUUUUUUACAACGACGCGUGCGCACCAGGUGAAGGCGCCACGCCCCCUCCUCCGGUGGCAGGUAUCCUGUCACCCUAAGAUUCCUUGGUGCAAGGCAUGGUUUACCAGAUCAGGUGAAAGCGGUCUGCCAUGCCUGCUGUGACCCUGCUCCCCAUCAUGAUGAUCAUGGACUAAUCCUCUGAAACCGCUGGCUGGACGCUUUGAACCCAAAUGGGAAAGAACCCUGAGACUCACUCUCGCGGGGCGCGGGUCCUUUGAACUGACUUCUGAGGGGAAGCAGCGCCAUGUUGCCGACAAGCUUGGUGUCGGGGUCCAUGAGAGAAGAGUGGUAAG